AUGCACUGACAUUCAAGUCGCAACAACGUGACUUCUUUCCACCCUCACAACUAGCUACAUUGUAGCAGUGUGCCACAGAUUUGGCGUUUCAGAGAUGUUCCCUCCCACUGUCAGAGUUGGGUCCGCUGUGUUAUGUGUGCUGAUGGUGCAACUGUACAGUGACCGCUAUUUACCUUUUGAGGAGGGUUCCACGUACACUCGCUGCUGGAUAUCAAUUUGAAAUUGACGCUGGAGAUGGACAGCUAGCUUGCAUUUGAAGACGAAAUGUUUAUCUUAGCUAUCAGUCACUUCUGGGACACGUAUCAUCAAAGAAACGAAGGGGAUGAGAAUCAUGAAGCCAACCCGUCACCUGCUCCUGGUGCUUUGUCCCAUGGUGGUCCUGGGCUUCCUCUACUACUCCUCUGGGAGACUGCACCCCUGGGGCUGGGGACAUAAAUCACAGAAAGACCUGGAUAGUUUUUUCUCCGUGGGACGAUUAUUUCACUCAGUGUAUGACAAACAGGGAUUCUUGCUGAAGUUGGAUGGUAAUCUGCCUUUGGAGCUGAUGUACAAGUAUGGCAAUCUCAGCGAGGGAGUCUGCAAGCCUGGCUAUGCAGCUGCUAAGAUGACUGCCAUUUAUCCAAAGUUCACUAAACCAGCCCCCAUGUUCCUUGAUCUGAAUUUUAGACGAUUCACCAAAAUCAGCAAAUUCUUCCCACCCUUUGGAAUUAAAAUGCAAGAAAAGAUCAUAGAUAAUAUUCUGACAGCCACAAAGAGCUAUGGUCUGGAAGAUGAGCUGGACAGUCUGAGUUGUAAAAAGUGCAUAAUCAUGGGAAAUGGUGCUAUUCUGACCAACAAGUCUAUGGGUGCAAGGAUUGACGAGUACAAUGUGAUUGCAAGGUUGAACGAGGCCCCAGUGAGUGGCUAUGAGAAAGAUGUGGGCUCCCGGACCACUAUGCGUAUCACCUACCCAGAGGGAGCCAUCCAGAAGACUGAACGCUACGAACAGGACUCCCUCUUCGUUCUCUCUGCCUUCAAAACUCUCGACUUCAAAUGGCUGCGGUCCAUGAUCUUUAAAGAGAGGCUGCAUAGUACAGAUGGGUUCUGGAAGUCUGUGGCCCAUCAUGUCCCCAGGGAGCCCAGUGAGAUGAGGAUCCUCAACCCUUACUUCAUCCAGGAGGCUGCCUUCAGGUUCAUUGGCCUGCCACACAACAAGGGACAGAUGGGGAGAGGGAAUAUUCCGACACUGGGGACUGUUGCCAUAACAAUGGCCCUCCAUAACUGUGAUGAGGUAGCCGUGGCUGGAUUUGGUUAUGACAUGAGUACCCCCCACGCUCCCCUACACUACUAUGAGAAGAUCAGGAUGGUGGCCAUCAAACAGGAAGGGAGGAGCAGAAUGGAGGUGUCAUCUGAUUUGCCGAAGGAAGGGCGCUGGGGAGGGCUUUUUAGCCGUCCCGGGAAAGGGGAGUAACACUUGUCAAUAAUUCCAUGGCUGUUUUCUACAAAUGCUUCUGGAGACUGUCUUUUUAAUUUACAAUGAUUACAUCAAGGUAGCUAGUGAAAAGAAAGUUAGCUAGCUCAUUACAUUUAAUUAACUUAGCUAAACAAUGUGUAAAGUUAUCUAGCUAGCAGCUCAGUUGAGUUAGCCUACAAAGUAGCCUACUACUAUUAUUGUAUUAAAAUUUUUCUAAAUGUAUUUACUUAUAUAAAUAGGUUCUCCGACUGCCUCUGUUUUUUGUGUCCUUACCCUAGCAACCUGGUCCCUAACUCAGAGGUGUUAAGUGGUCUCUGCCACUGCACAAUGGGGUCAAGCUGAGGCAUGGGAUGGUAGCCUACCUCAGCAGUAAACCGACAAAGGUUAACUGCCUUGCUCAAGGGCAGAACAACACAUUUUUACCAUGUUGGAUCAGGGACUCGAUCCAGCAACCUUUCGGGUACCUAACCAAUGCUCCUACCCGCCAGGCUACCUACCGCCCAUUUAUAGAAGACUCUAAAGAUCAUUAUCUUAUCCUAGGUUCCAGUGAUUAAUUCCUGAAGUGCGUAAUUUAUACCUGCAGCCCUUAUGUACAAAACCCUCUAACCUGUAUCAUUAAAUCCUCAGACAUUAACCAUUCAAACCUUCUCCCUAUCUCUGAUACUGAAGAGACAAACAUUGUAGCCUUUUACUGCUGGGGUGCAGAGAGACAACAGGUCAGAAGAACUUUGCACCACCUCAACAAAACUCACCACUGGAUCCUUCCUACGAGGACAAGCCUCCACCCUGGACUGUAUAACCAUGUGUUAGUGUGUCACUGACCAUUCCUGGACUCAUAACAUUUCUAAAGAGAAGGAGUUCCUGAUUAAGCUGGUGAAGGCCGGGGUUAUACAGGACUUGACCCAUGG